rnacentral:lncRNA from 1 species
GCAAAACCUGGCUCUUCUCAUCGAGAUCCCGCAGCAUGCGGUCAGUGGCACCGUGGGGCAGUCCGUGCUCCUGCCCGUCUCCUACAGAGUCAACAGCUCCUUUCGCUUCCCAAUGUCAAUUGAGUGGAAGUUUGGGAACAGCCCACAGGUGAUCAUCACCUGCUCCGUGCAGAACUGCUCCCUGGAUGCUGAAGGAGCUCCCAAGAAAUGCUCUGCACAAUAUUUGCCUCACCAAUCAUACCGGCACCGCAUUGAGUUCUUCCCUGAGAACGCAUCCCUGCUGCUGCGGGACCUGCAGCUCAGUGACAGCGGGGUGUACAGCAUUGCCUUCCAAAAGCAAAAGCAAAGCAGGGGGAUCAGCCUGGCAGUGCACAAGCAGCAUGUUUCCACUGGGCAUCCUGACAAAGGCACCAAUGCCCAAGACAUCUCCCGUUACUACACAAUUGGAGUUUGCUCCCUAAUCGGCCUCUUUCUGCUGCUCCUGGUCCUCUGCAUAUGGCGGCGAGGUGCACUGUGGAAGAAGAUGAGAACUACUACACAGCAGCAGGCCUCAAACACAGAGGAUAUCCACAUGCAAAACACCGUGGUAGGGGACAUGGCAACAAUUUAUGCCACAGUUGGAGAAGACUUUGAAGAGACAAAGCCAAGAGCAUUACCAGAGACUCUCUACACAUCCAUAAACUUUCCUCAACUGCCUUCUGCUUUGGCUCCAAAAUUUGCUGCAGAGCCAAGGUGAUGCUGUUGCCACUCCGUCCAUUGUGAUCGGACCCUUGCUGAGCCCCCUCCUGCCCAGGGAGCGUUUAAGUGCUUGGAGCAACAGAUUAUGGAAAUGCAUUAGUUCGCCUCAAACCACAGUUUCUCUUGAAUUUGAGGAAUGAUCUGCUUUUAGUUUCAUCUUGAGAUUUCCGGAGAGCACGGAGACACUGAACACAAGAGAAAGAUGCCUAAAGCAAAAGCAAAACAACAGUUCACCCAUGAGAAGCUCGCUUCCAGAGACAUGCCUUAAUUUGAGGGGUAAUGGAGAACACUGAAUGUGUUUCAGACGUGCAUCCCA